rnacentral:RNase_P_RNA from 3 species
GAGAGAGGAAGGGCGGCUCACGCACCGAAAGGUGUGAGGAAAGUCCCCCCACCGUUUGGACGCGCGGGCGUCCGCAAGGGCGCAGGGCGAGAGUCCUGGCAAUUGCACAGAAACGCCACCGCCCCUCAUGAGGGCGAUGAUUCCGAAAGGAUGAGGUCGUGAGGCGGCGGAUGAAACGGCAAACCCCGCGGGUGCAAGUGGGGAGUAUGGUGGACGUCCAACCACCACCCCGUUGUACGCUAAGCCAAAUGCCGCCAGAACAGAAGGGGGCUUACUCUCCUCACUC